GCGCGGCGAACGGUCUAAGUCCCUUGGAACGGGGCGUCAUAGAGGGUGAGAAUCCCGUAUGUGAUCGGCGACCAAGCCCAUGUGAAACUCCUUCGACGAGUCGAGUUGUUUGGGAAUGCAGCUCAAAAUGGGUGGUAAAUUUCAUCUAAAGCUAAAUACCGGCCAGAGACCGAUAGCGCACAAGUAGAGUGAUCGAAAGAUGAAAAGCACUUUGGAAAGAGAGUCAAAAAGUACGUGAAAUUGUUGAAAGGGAAGCGCUUGCCACCAGACCUGCCCGCGGGCGAUCAGCCGUUUUUUCGAAAGCGGUGCAUUCACCCGCGAUCAGGCCAGCAUCGGUUCGGGCGGCCGGAUAAAGGCCUCGGGAACGUGGCUCCUCUCGGGGAGUGUUAUAGCCCGUGGCGCAAUGCGGCCAGCCUGGCCGAGGACCGCGCUUCGGCUAGGAUGCUGGCGUAAUGGNUGUAAGCGGCCGUCUUGAAACACCGCCAAGGAGUCUAACAUCUAUGCGAGUGUNUGGGUGUCANACCCAUGCGCGUAAUGAAAGUGAACNGAGGUGGGAACCCGNGAGGGCGCACCAUCGACCGAUCCAGAUGUCUUCGGAUGGAUUUGAGUACGAGCAUANCUGUUGGGACCCGAAAGAUGGUGAACUAUGCCAGAAUAGGGUGAAGCCAGAGGAAACUCUGGUGGAGGCUCGCAGCGGUUCUGACGUGCAAAUCGAUCGUCAAAUUUNGGCAUAGGGGCGAAAGACUAAUCGAACCAU
rnacentral:rRNA from 1 species